rnacentral:rRNA from 1 species
UACGAGGUGUGCGAGCGUUGUUCGGAAUCACUGGGCAUAAAGGGUGCGUAGGCGGUGCGCCAAGUCGGGUGUGAAAUCCCUUCGCUUAACGAAGGAACUGCAUUCGAUACUAGCGUGCUAGAGGGUGAAAGGGGCAAGCGGAAUUCUAGGUGUAGCGGUGGAAUGCGUAGAUAUCUGGGAGAACGCCGAGGGCGAAGGCAGCUUGCUGGGUCACUUCUGACGCUGAGGCACGAAAGCUAGGGGAGCAAACAGGAUUAGAUACCCUGGUAGUCCUAGCCGUAAACGAUGAGCACUUUGUUCCGGGAAGCCUGAUCUUUUCGGAGCCGUAGCUAAUGUGUUAAGUGCUCCGCCUGGGGAGUAUGGUCGCAAGGCUAAA